rnacentral:rRNA from 1 species
GCUCAGCUCAAGGAAGUUCAUGAAAAGAUGUCGGUCUUUCUCUUAACUAGUCACAGCUUUGAAGAGAAUGGCUGUUCCUUGAAUCUUAAAGGUUCUAAGGCUCAUUUAAUGGACACAUGAUCUCUGGAAUCCAGCUAUAGCUCCAGGUC